rnacentral:rRNA from 1 species
AAUCAACGCUGGCGGCGUGCCUCAGACAUGCAAGUCGAACGCGAAAGGCCCCUUCGGGGGCCGAGUAGAGUGGCGCACGGGUGAGUAACACGUAGGUAAUUUGCCUUCGGGUGGGGAAGUAACAGCCGGAAACGGCUGCUAAUACCGCAUAAUGCAGCGGCUCGACAUCGAGACAGUUGUUAAAGCGGGGGAUCGCAAGACCUCGCGCCUGAAGAGAAGCCUGCGGCAGAUUAGCUAGUUGGCAGGGUAAUGGCCUACCAAGGCGACGAUCUGUAACCGGCCUGAGAGGGCGGUCGGUCACACUGACACUGACAUACGGGUCAGACUCCUACGGGAGGCAGCAGUCGGGUAAUUUUGGGCAAUGGGCGAAAGCCUCGACCCAG